UGGUGCUGCAUCUUACAGUGAAGACAGAAAGAUUUUAUGGACAAGCAGAAUUAUUCCUUUAUGGUUUCCCCUACUGUAUAUUUAUCAAUGCCUGUGAUCCUAACUUCUUCAGCUUCACAGCGUG